UUAAUUGAGGACUGGAAUGAAAGAGUCAACUUAAAAAAAAAUUUUUCCUAUAUUUUUUUUAAAUUUUACUUUUUAGUAAAAAGGCUAAAAUAACCCUUAAAGACAAGAAGACCCUGUAAAACUUUACAUAACAAAAUAUAAUAAUUCAAUGUUAUGUUCAGCUGGGGCGGCAAAGAAUAUUAACAUUCUUAAAACAUUAUAAUAUUAAUUUAAAAUACCCAGAAAUUCUGAAAAUUAAAUUAGUUACUUCAGGGAUAACAGCGUAAUAAAUUUUUAGAGACCCUAUCAACAAAUAUGUUUGCGACCUCGAUGUUGGAUUGU
rnacentral:rRNA from 1 species